rnacentral:lncRNA from 1 species
UUUGUAAGGUCUCCCAGGGCGCCGGAGCGCAGUGUCGUCUCUGUGGCGCAAUCGGUUAGCGCGUUCGGCUGUUAACCGAAAGGCUGCCCACCUACGGCCGAGGCCCUGCUCUACGGCAUCCUGCAGCUGCAGAGGAAGAUCAAGCGGGAGCGGAGGCUGCAGAUCUGGUACCGCAGGUAGCGCCGCCGCCGCCGCCGCCGGAGCCUGUCGCCGUCCUGUCCCCAGCCUGCUUGUGUCCCGUGAGGUUGUCAAUAAACCUGCCCUCGGGCUGCCGCC